rnacentral:rRNA from 1 species
AAUGAACGCUGGCGGCAUGCCUAACACAUGCAAGUCGAACGAAGUCCUUCGGGGCUUAGUGGCGCACGGGUGCGUAACGCGUGGGAAUCUGCCCCUUGGUUCGGAAUAACAGUUGGAAACGACUGCUAAUACCGGAUGAUGACGUAAGUCCAAAGAUUUAUCGCCGAGGGAUGAGCCCGCGUAGGAUUAGGUAGUUGGUGUGGUAAAGGCGCACCAAGCCGACGAUCCUUAGCUGGUCUGAGAGGAUGAUCAGCCACACUGGGACUGAGACACGGCCCAGACUCCUACGGGAGGCAGCAGUGGGGAAUAUUGGACAAUGGGCGAAGGCCUGAUCCAGCAAUGCCGCGUGAGUGAUGAAGGCCUUAGGGUUGUAAAGCUCUUUUACCCGGGAUGAUAAUGACAGUACCGGGAGAAUAAGCUCCGGCUAACUCCGUG